rnacentral:rRNA from 1 species
AUUGAACGCUGGCGGCAGGCCUAACACAUGCAAGUCGAACGGCAGCGGGGGAUAGCUUGCUAUCCUGCCGGCGAGUGGCGGACGGGUGAGUAAUGCAUGGGGAGCUGCCCAGUCGAGGGGGAUAACAACUGGAAACGGUUGCUAAUACCGCAUACGCCCUAAGGGGGAAAGGUGGGGAACUUCGGUCCUACCGCGAUUGGAUGCGCCCAUGUGGGAUUAGCUAGUUGGUGAGGUAACGGCUCACCAAGGCGACGAUCUCUAGCUGGUCUGAGAGGAUGACCAGCCACACUGGAACUGAGACACGGUCCAGACUCCGACGGGAGGCAGCAGUGGGGAAUAUUGCACAGUGGGGGAAACCCUGAUGCAGCCAUGCCGCGUGUGUGAAGAAGGCCUUCGGGUUGUAAAGCACUUUCAGUCAGGAGGAAGGGGUGAUGGCUAAUAUCCAUCAUCAUUGACGUUACUGACAGAAGAAGCACCGGCUAACUCCGUGCCAGCCGCCGCCGUAA